AGGAUGACUGUGCUUGUUUAUUUCAGGUAAAGCCAAAAAACCAUCGCACAAUGUAUGCUGCUGGCCAUCUGAAUUACCAAGUCACCUUCCAGCUUCGAUGCAGAACAAACAAAAUACACAGCUAAAUAAAGUGAAAUAAUGCAAAGUUUGUGUUUUAUUCAGCCUGGUUUUAAGUGCUUUGCUGGCCAGAUUCCCAGUUUUUUCCGGAAAGAUCUUCCAGUUCAUAGGAACUCGUUCCUAUUUUGGAAACUAUUUUGCAUGGGAGAUAUUGCUGCCCAUAUUUUGCAUUAUAGUACUCUCCCGCGUUUGAAAGUUUCAUGUUCCUUCUAAAAACUAAUUGGCCGGCCGUAAACGCUUUGGCAAAUUGCCGGUACCGAAGAUUAUAUUGUUUACGAGAAGAUUCAUGGGCUUUGGUCAGAUUUUGGAUGACCUUUCCGGAGCCAAUUGCCCCCGCCGGGCAAACGUAAGUAAUUAGUUACAAAUGGCGCCCAACGUUAAAUGAAUUUAAAAAAGGUUUUCAACUUUUGGCCAAAUUUGAACACCUUUUUAAGUAAGCUCCGGGAGGAAUUGCAAUUAAUUAAAUUAAUUUCAAUUUUUAUGAAACAGAUUUCUCAUUUACUAUCAUUUUACAUUUCUUAUAAAAGAAAUGUAUAGAAUUCGCUCAAACUUUCAAGAUUUUUUCCGAGGCCCGGAGGGCCGAGUCUUAUAUACCAAUCGACUCAGCUCGACGAUUUGGGACAAUGUCUGUGUGUGUGUGUGUGUGUGUGUGUGUGUGUGUGUCUGUGUGUGUGUGUAUGUAACGGACAAAUUCUCAUUCGUGUUUCUCAGCAAUGGCUGAACCGAUCUUAUCCAAACCAAUUUUAAAUGAAAGAACUAAAAAACAGUAUGAACGCUAUUAAUUUGUUUUUCAUUCUGAUGUUUAGUUUCCAAGAUAUGAAUGUUUGAAUGCGUAAAAAUGGCGUUUUUCGCAGUUUUUUUAAAUUAUCUGCCGAAAUUGACUAUAUAGAUUAACAAUUUAUAUGUUUUUAGAUAGCUUUAACGAAUACCUUUCUAUCAAGCUAUAGAUUGUUGAAAUCGGACUAUUAUCAAAAAAGAUAUUGAACAUUAAAUGCGGACGAAAGAUUUUUAUCAUUUCCCAUUGCCAGAAAUAUGACCAAAAACAUGUAAUCUAUUAUUAACGCCAAAACGGCUUAUUUUAGGUCAAUAGUAUCUUCGUAGAAUAUAAUGUAGGCAAUAUGCCCUUUGUUUUGGUAUUGUGCU